rnacentral:lncRNA from 1 species
GUAAGUACAACUGGAGCACAUUUUUGCCUUGAUCCAUAGAAAAAUCAGAAAUCACCUAACCUCAUAAAGAUUGAGAGAUCUGAUCCUUGUCCACUAUAAUGUGAGGUUGAAGCUCAAGUAUAUUAAUGAUAGGAAAGAGCAUAGGUAAGAUGACCCAUUCAAUGAGGACUUUGUCCAUGAUCAUGAUGAGAAGGAUUCUAUGUUUAGCUAAGUAGU